rnacentral:rRNA from 1 species
GACGAACGCUGGCGGCGUGCUUAACACAUGCAAGUCGAACGAUGAAGCCGGAGCUUGCUCUGGUGAAUUAGUGGCGAACGGGUGAGUAACACGUGGGUAACCUGCCCAUAAGACUGGGAUAACUCCGGGAAACCGGGGCUAAUACCGGAUAACAUUUUGAACCGCAUGGUUCGAAAUUGAAAGGCGGCUUCGGCUGUCACUUAUGGAUGGACCCGCGUCGCAUUAGCUAGUUGGUGAGGUAACGGCUCACCAAGGCAACGAUGCGUAGCCGACCCGAGGGGGUGAUCGGCCAAACUGGGACUGAGACACGGCCCAGGCUCCGACGGGAGGCAGCAGUAGGGAAUCUUCCGCAAUGGACGAAAGUCUGACGGAGCAACGCCGCGUGAGUGAUGAAGGCUUUCGGGUCGUAAAACUCUGUUGUUAGGGAAGAACAAGUGCUAGUUGAAUAAGCUGGCACCUUGACGGUACCUAACCAGAAAGCCACGGCUAACUACGUGCCAGCCGCCGCGGUAA